AGCAGCCGCGGUAAUUCCAGCUCCAAUAGCGUAUAUUAAAGUUGCUGCAGCUAAAAAGCUCGUAGUUGAAUUUCGGGACCAUCAUGUUGGUCGUGCCUAGGUACGUACUGGCAUUGUUGGUUUCUCCCUUCUGACGAACCAUGAUGUCAUUAAUUUGAUGUCAUGGGGAAUCAGGACUGUUACUUUGAAAAGAUUAGAGUGUUUAAAGCAGGCUCGCGCUUGAAUACAUUAGCAUGGAAUAAUGAAAUAGGACAUUUGAUUCUAUUUUGUUGGUUUCUAGGAUCGAUGUAAUGAUUAAUAGGGAUAGUUGGGGGCAUUAGUAUUCAAUUGUCAGAGGUGAAAUUCUUGGAUUUAUUGAAGACUAAACUACUGCGAAAGC
rnacentral:rRNA from 1 species